CCUACGGGAGGCAGCAGUGGGGAAUAUUGGGCAAUGGAGGAAACUCUGACCCAGCAACGCCGCGUGAGUGAUGAAGGUCUUCGGAUUGUAAAGCUCUUUUCUCAGGGAAGAAGGAAGUCACUGUUCCUUAGCAAUGAGCCUCGGCUAACUACGUGCCAGCAGCCGCGGUAAUACGUAGGAGGCGCGCGUUAUCCGGAAUGACUGGGCGUAAAGAGUGCGUAGGUGGUUUGGCAAGUUAGUAGCGAAACUCCAAGGCUCAACCUUGGAACUCCUACUAAAACUGGUGGACUUGAGUGCAGGAGGGGCAACCGGAAUUCCUAGUGUAGCGGUGGAAUGCGUAGAUAUUAGGAGGAACAUCAGUGGCGAAGGCGGGUUGCUAGACUGUAACUGACACUGAGGAACGAAAGCGUGGGGAGCAAACAGGAUUAGAUACCCCAGUAGUC
rnacentral:rRNA from 1 species